GGGAACGUUUCCUUCGGGAGACAAGUACAGCGGCGGACGGGUGAGUAUAACUUGGUCAAUCUACCUCCAGGACGGGGAUAGCCAUCCGAAAGGAUGAGUAAUACCUGAUAUGACCACGUGUCCUCAUGGACACGUGAUAAAAAGGUUGGGAUCUUCGGACCUUCUGCCUGGAAAUGAGACCAAGCCCUAUUAGCUUGUUGGUGAGGUAACGGCUCACCAAGGCAACGAUGGGUAGCGGGCCUGAGAGGGCGAACCGCCACACUGGAACUGAGACACGGUCCAGACUCCUACGGGAGGCAGCAGUGCUGAAUCAUUCGCCAAUGCGGGAAACCGUGACGGUGCGACGCCGCGUGCAGGACGAAGGCCUUCGGGUUGUAAACUGCUGUCAAUAUCCAGAAAACCAGCAGGGUUAAUAGCUCUGUUGCUGAUCGGAUUCAGAGGAAGCACUGGCUAAACUCGUGCCAGCAGCCGCGGUAACACGAGUGGUGCAAGCGUUGUUCGGAAUUACUGGGCAUAAAGGGUGCGUAGGCGGCCCUGUAAGUCAGUUGUGAAAUCCCACGGCUCAACCGUGGCAUUGCAAUUGAUACUGCAGGGCUCGAGGUCGAAAGAGGCAAGUGGAAUUCCAGGUGUAGCGGUGGAAUGCGUAGAUAUCUGGGAGAACGCCAAAGGCGAAGGCAGCUUGCUGGGUCGACUCUGACGCUGAGGCACGAAAGCUAGGGGAGCGAACAGGAUUAGAUACCCUGGUAGUCCUAGCCGUAAACGAUGGACACUUGGUUUUGGGGGCCCUGAUGCUCUCGGAACUGGAGUUAAUGCGUUAAGUGUCCCGCCUGGGGAGUAUGGUCGCAAGGCUAAAACUCAAAGGAAUUGACGGGGGCUCACACAAGCGGUGGAGCAUGUUGUUUAAUUCGAAGCAACGCGAAGAACCUUACCAGGGCUUGACAUGCAAGAAGUAGAACCCCGAAACGGGAACCACCGGUAUCCAAUCCGGAACUUGCACAGGUACUGCAUGGCUGUCGUCAGCUCGUGUCGUGAGACGUUGGGUUAAGUCCCGUAACGAGCGAAACCCUUGUCGUCUGUUGCUACCAGGUUAUGCUGGGCACUCUGGCGAGACUGCCGGUGUUAAACCGGAGGAAGGCGGGGACGACGUCAAGUCAUCAUGGUCCUUACGCCCUGG
rnacentral:rRNA from 1 species